AUGACUCUCGGCAACGGAUAUCUCGGCUCUCGCAUCGAUGAAGAACGCAGCGAAAUGCGAUACUUGGUGUGAAUUGCAGAAUCCCGCGAACCAUCGAGUUUUUGAACGCAAGUUGCGCCCAAAGCCUUUUGGCCGAGGGCACGUCUGCCUGGGUGUCACGCAACAU
rnacentral:rRNA from 1 species